AGAGCUGCGCACAGGAGUUGAAAAUGAGUUUUAACACUGCAGGGAUAUCAGGGCAGUUUGAACAAAGCAACAUUGGUUAGAUCACUGGAUUGUGAGUUCUUCGUGCUGAGCAUUAUCAGAAGUCAGUGGCGUGGGGUGAGGAAAAACCCAAUUGAGGAGUGGUAAUAGAGGAAGUGAACUAUGAAGCCAGGGAUUCCAGCUUUAAAUGUUUCCCAAGAUGUGUUUCAUGAGAGUUUAUUUUGUCUACAGCAUCCCCAAGGAAGCUUGUGGUUAAUGAUGUGCUCCUGCGUGUGCCUGGCAACCAACGGGACCAGACGAACAGAAGAGGCGCCCUGAUUGGCUCCUGGGAUUACGGCUUUAUUAGUGUGCUCUGACAGCCUGUCUGUCACCAGCACCAAGCGCCGAACAUUAACUUGAACCUCGACGGCUCCACUCCCAGAGAAAAUGGGGGCCUAAUGUGUUAUAAAUCAAGUUGGCUUUUGAAAUCAAUAUUCCUAAAAAAAAAAAA